AGACAAAGAUGACUCCCUAGGCAGUCAUAAGGAAUACUAGUGCCAGCCACACUGGAGGAAAUGAGCCCAUGUUGUCCCUCUCACUUGCCUCCUGGUGUGCCAUGUAGAAAGACACAGAGCUACCCUUGGUGGGAGAGGGUCCACUCCAUACAUCAGAGUGACAGGAAAGACACAGUUCUGAGACAAAGGGGAACGGACAUUCAUAGCAGUCUCGUGAGCCUUCCCUAGAAGGCCCCAUUGUCCUCCCGUAAUCUCCUUUGUACGGGGCCUCUCUCUACCAUUCCCAUACACGGAUCUAGCAGUAUCUAAGGAUAACGCUUGUCAACAACGGACUACAAAGAAAUGGGGAUUUCCCCAAGAAUCUCAUGCCGAGAGAAGGAAAAAGUGUCCAUCAGAAGAACGUGUCUCCUGGAAAGAGAUUUGUACACAGUUAUGACAACUUAUCAGCCCACAUCACAGGGCUGUGUGAAAUCUCAAGGACAGCACAGUGGCAAGCCUCCAGUCCACCAUGUUCACACCAAGGCAAGCCUCCAGUCCACCAUGUUCACACCAAGGCAAGCCUCCAGUCCACCAUGUUCACACCAAGGGCUCAGUUUCCCACCUGGACACCAGUGUGACUUUCAGACAGCAGUCACUCUGACUCUGGAGCCCAACUGAGACUGACCAGAAAUGGGGAUGUGACAAGUGACGCCAGCUAGACCUCCUCUAGCGACUGCACCACGCGCAUGGAAAGACACACUGUAGGGCGAGGGGGACAGAGUUACGCCCGGGCUCUCUGGAUGGCAGCUUUGGAAAGUUGACGAUUUAUCACCUACCCCAACUCCUUCUCAAGUGUGGUCUGGGACUCGUUGCUCAUCUGCGUGAUUUUGCCAAGUGGUGUUUGGACUUGGCGUUGGGAGUUCACACUGUA